AAAAGACAAAUCAGCAUGUCA
rnacentral:miRNA from 1 species